rnacentral:ncRNA from 2 species
CCGCCUCCCGCUUCAGCCUCCCUGCACCCCGGGCACAGCUUGCUGAGCGUUGGCCGGUGGCCCUCCAGUCACCAGAGGCCACCAGAGGCCAGGCCUGGGCAGUGCUCCCAGGGGCUCCUGAUGUCCACAGCGGGAGGAGCCCCCC